UCAGUGGUGAGCUGGCGCUGGGUACCCCAUGUUCCCCAUGGAGCUGUGAGCAUCAGCUGUCCCUUGGAUGUGUUUCUACUGGGAUCCCGCUCAACUUGUGCCCCCCAGAUCCACUGCAAGAAGCUGGUAACUACUGGGAAGGCUGAGGAAGAAGCCCACGAAGGGCAGGUUUGCUCACCCUGCCUUUAACAUCUCGUUUCUCCAGGAGAAUUGAUUGCUGGAGAGGUAAAGCUGAUUGUAUGGACUGUGCAAGCUGGUGGACGAUGGUCCCCAUGGGCUGCACACAAAUGGAGCCCAGCAGAAUCAAGCAAGUUUUACCAGAGCUUCGAGUUAAGAAAAAAAAAAGCAAAAGAGAGAGGAAGAAAAAAAAAAAAGGAAAACACAAUCCAGACUCUGCCUUGGCCAAACCUGCCCCUUUUAAGGAAAGGAAAUUUCCCAGAGCCACCCUCGACAAACCUAAAGGCCUGAUCCUGCUCUCAGGAAUGUCAGUGCAAAUCUAGAGCAGCUCUGCUGGCUGCUGGGGGGUCAAGGCAGCCGUGUGUGCAUCCAGCUCCUGCUUUCCUCCCCCCAGAGAUGGUGCAGAGUUUGCACUACAACAGCCAGGGAGCAAACUCCAGGCUCAAAAGCAGUAACAUCAGAAUGGUCUGCAUGCCAGUUACAAGGAUUUAGCCUUUUUGCUGAGCCAUGUUCUGGAAGCCUGAGCCCUGUUUUGCUCUGUGAGCUGCGUGCAAUAAAACAGCUGCGUCCUUUGGCUGGAUGGCUGCUAUGGAGGGGCCACAUGUUUUGCUUAGGACAUGUCUGAAGUGUCUUCUUUGAGUUCAGACUUUGCUCAAGGGGCUGCCCAGAGCAGAGCACAGCAGAGCGAUGCCAGCAGCUUCAGUGGGGCUUAUUUUGGUAGCAGCCCCCUACCAACUUCUCCCAGGGAAGCAAAAGAAACUGGGAGCAAACUUGGAAGGGUCUGCCCCCGUUUAGGUCAAAAAUCUGCAAGGGAAAAGCUAAAGAGAAGAGUAAAAUGCUCACGUUCCCUUCUCAUUAACAUUAAAGGUCUGGAUGUAAACCAGAUGCAAAUGGGCUCUGCUGCAGAGGGUAUUCUGCCACAUUCUGGGGUCAGAUCUGACCACCCCCAGUUCCUGCUGACAGCAAUGUGGGCAUUCAGAUCCUCAUCCAACCGCUGUGCAGCACGAGAGCCAGGGACCACAGCAAUCAGCCUCCAAAAUGGGAACUGCCAGCAAAGGCCACGGCCCUGAGCUGCACUGCCCCUAAAGAGGAGGUUGGAAGCUGCAUUCAGAACCCACAUCAACAUCUGCUCGGCCCACUGAAAGCAUUGCUUUGCCCGAGAGCUGAAGAACAAGCGAAUGGGAAGGUUCAGAGCACAACCAAAGCACCCCAGCAUCCUAAAUGCAGUGCACAAGGGAAUGCAUUAAGGCACCCAGCACCUGAGAAAGCAUCUCUAGGAGCUCAACGCCAAGAAAUGGGCGGUGCCUGGAUGCCAGGCUCCAUCCGAAUGAGACGCCGAAGGCCGGGGCAGGCUGGCACAAAGGAGAGCUGGCAGGAAUUCCUGCACUCGGAGCUCCGAUAAACCCACCCUAAAGAGUUCUACCCCAUUCGGCCCCAAAUGGAGCCAGCACAGUGUGCGUGUGGGGAAGUGGGGGAAUAAUAAUAAUAAUAAUAAUAACAAAAAUUGGGGCAGAAAUAAAGCUGGGACCUUCCAGUGCGUCGAUGCGGGUUAAACAAAAGGCCUGGGGAUGUGGAUAGGGCUCUAUGCACCCCCCUCCUCCCCACGCCGUGUGCACCUUCCCGCCCGCACGCCCCCUCAUCCCGCCUCGUGUUUGGUGCAAAAAGGGCAAAAAAAGGGCAAAAAAAGGGCAAAAAAUGGGCAAAAAAGCCCAAAGCGACGCGUCCGCCAUGAGGGCAGCACAGCAGCAACCGCCUCCAUGGGGGCAGAUUGGGGGUAGUUUGUAUUUUAGGGCGUAUUUGGGGCCUUUUUGUUGCCGCCGCGAAGCACAUGGGUUGCGCCGAUGAUAAAAAGGGAGUCCCGGCGGGCCGGGAAGGGGGGCCAUGGGGCUGAGAGAGCUGCUGGGGAGAUGCCAAGAGCACGGAACAAAACACGUUUUCAUCUCGCCCCGCACCAGGGGCCGAGGGGCGGCCGUGCACCCCGCAGCCCUCCAGGGGAGAGCUUGCCAAGCCCUCCUUGGCACGGCUCCCCCGAACAAAGCCGUCACCCAUCCCCGAGCAGGCGCUGACAGUAAGCAAAGUGACAGGCGCAUCUCCCGCAUGUUAAUCCAAACGGCGAGCGGUGCCAGCAUCCCCCCCCUCCCCACCAUCACCACAACCCCCUCCCCUUUACCCCCACAUGCAUGCAUACCCCCGUCCACCCCACCCUUGGCCUCGUGCAGGGCCUUCCCUUUGGGCGGGUUUAAAUCAAAACCAAGCGGCCGAAGCUUCGGGGGGCUGAACGAGGCCGCUCGGUUCGGCGUUGGCGGUACCUGUUCCGUUCCCUCUUGUCUUCCUCUCUCUUUGGAUGCGUGACAAGAGCCAACUCUCCUCUGGUGGGCUCUGGGAGCCGCAGGGCUGUAACCCUUUGCAGGAAGUUGGCACAGCUCCCAGGAAUUAAAAUGGGAAGAGAUAAGCUCCAAGCCAGCAGGACGAUGCAUGGGGGGUGGGAGAUGAACGCAGCCCCAUCUCACCCACCCCGCUUCGGAACCCCAUCCAUGUAACACUGCUGAAUUAAUCCAGUCCAUAGUCCGGAGUCCCUCCAAGCUGCCAAGAUCAUCACAACAGGAAAGAAAGAAAACAUGAGAGGCAGAGCGAGGCAGAGUCCUCACAAUCGAGCAGCGAGAAGAGCAAGGAGAAAUUAACAUCCAAUUAGCGCCGUGUUUAACGAGGGAGACAGAGGCGGCUGUUGUUUUAUUGCCCUGUUCUUUUCAGGCACAUCUGACAGGCAGCGGGGAAGGCACCCCAGCUCCAAGUGACGUCAUCAGAUUUUAUUUUCUAUAUAUAUUUUCUCUCUUUUUUGAGAUGUUUUUUUUUUGCUUGUCUGUCUAUUUUUCCUCCCCCCCCCCAUCUUUGCUCUUCCAAGUUUGAAGUCAAGGUCUCAGCAAUGUGGCCAGAGCAAUGCAGGGCUUUGGGCUGAUGCCUCCAUCCUCCAUCCCCCCCCUUCUUCAUCCCCAGCCCUGCAAAACAAACACCAACCCCAACCCGAAGUCUUUGUUCUUCCAAACAAUAAAAAGAAAAGAAAAAAAAAGAGAGA